CGCAAGUCUGAACCAGCCAUGCCGCGUGGAGGAUGAAGGUCCUCUGGAUUGUAAACUUCUUUUAUCUGGGACGAAAACGGGAUUUUUAUCUCAAUUGACGGUACCAGAGGAAUAAGCACCGGCUAACUCCGUGCCAGCAGCCGCGGUAAUACGGAGGGUGCGAGCGUUAUCCGGAUUUACUGGGUUUAAAGGGUGCGUAGGUGGGCUUAUAAGUCAGUGGUGAAAUCUCCGAGCUUAACUUGGAAACUGCCUUUGAUACUAUAGGUCGUGAAUUAUCUGGAGGUAAGCGGAAUAUGUCAUGUUGCGGUGAAAGGCUUAGAUAUGACAUAGAACACCAAUUGCGAAGGCAGCUUACUACAUAUAAAUUGACGCUGAGGCACGAACGCGUGGGGAUCAAA
rnacentral:rRNA from 1 species